rnacentral:tRNA from 1 species
GAUUAGUUCAGCUGGAUAGAAUGUCUGCCUACGGAGCAGAUGGUCGUAGGUUCGAAUCCUGCAUC